rnacentral:rRNA from 1 species
UACGGAGGGUGCAAGCGUUAUCCGGAUUCACUGGGUUUAAAGGGCGCGUAGGUGGGUUGGUAAGUCAGUGGUGAAAUCCCCGAGCUUAACUUGGGAACUGCCAUUGAUACUACCAGUCUUGAAUACUGUGGAGGUAAGCGGAAUAUAUCAUGUAGCGGUGAAAUGCUUAGAUAUGAUAUAGAACACCAAUAGCGAAGGCAGCUUACUACGCAGUUAUUGACACUGAGGCUCGAAAGCGUGGGGAUCAAACAGG